CCUAUGGGAGGCACCAGGCGCGAAACCUCCGCAAUGUGAGAAAUCGCGACGGGGGGAUCCCAAGUGCCAUUCUUAACGGGAUGGCUUUUCAUUAGUGUAAAGAGCUUUUGGAAUAAGAGCUGGGCAAGACCGGUGCCAGCCGCCGCGGUAACACCGGCAGCUCUAGUGGUAGCAGUUUUUAUUGGGCCUAAAGCGUCCGUAGCCGGUUUAAUAAGUCUCUGGUGAAAUCCUGCAGCUUAACUGUGGGAAUUGCUGGAGAUACUAUUAGACUUGAGAUCGGGAGAGGUUAGAGGUACUCCCAGGGUAGAGGUGAAAUUCUGUAAUCCUGGGAGGACCGCCUGUUGCGAAGGCGUCUGACUGGAACGAUUCUGACGGUGAGGGACGAAAGCUAGGGGCGCGAACCGGAUUAGAUACCCUAGUAGUCC
rnacentral:rRNA from 1 species